AGGCUAGGCCUCCAGAGCAGGUUGCUUGGCGGGAGUAGGUUAGGUCACGGGAGUGGGCUGCUUGGCGAAAACAGGCUGCUUAGUGUGUGAUGCAUGCGAAUACGAGGCUUGGGCCUAUGCAAGCUUGGAUGGCACGGCUUGGGCCAUGGUGGAACGUCGUAGUGGUGGUACCACUCCGCUUAUGACCACAUUUAGCCUCGUGGAUCACCGCGGUCCCAUUUCUUGAGUAUUAGAAUUUUCACUUGUGGAAUUUUUUUAAUUUCUAGCCAUUAUAUUUUUCUUAUACGUUUUAUCAAAGAACCUUUGCAAAUUAAAAAUUCUAAUAAUAAGAGUGUAUGAAAAAUAUUCAAAUGGACUAGAAAAUAGAGAAAAACCUUUUUAUGCGAGAGUCUUUUACGAGUAUGGAUCUCAACUCUCAAUGAAAGCACAAAUUUGUGGAUGCAAAUUUCCAUCUUCUUCCUCUUGGACAAAAUUGCACAUACAAAACAAUUAACACCUUAGGUCAAGGCCAAGAGCCUCACGCGCCCACGAUAAAUGGGGGGGACUUUGGCCGAAGAACCUCCGAUGCCAAAGUUAGAAUUUAGAGAGAAAAAUAUUUGGAGAGUUUUUGGGAGUUUUGCAAGAGUAUGGAACUAGCUUUUUAGAAGAAAUAGGGUCAUAUAUAUAGGGAAUGGGGUGUGGCCGGCCUUUAAGUGUGUUUUGGGGUGUUAUUUGGUGAUUCAAUUAGCAAUUAAUAUAUUAAUUAGGUAUAAAUAUCAUAAUAAAAGAAAUGUUUUGGAAGGUUAUGUAAUGAUUUCCUUUUAGAGGAUAUGGAGAUAAGAUAAAUUUGAACUUAUUACCUAUUUUGGGCACUCUUGACUCGGUUGAUGGAUGAUUCUCUACUGCUCGCAUGUAGGAAACCUGGUGUGUCUUGAGGGCAAUUUUGUCCUCUUCACCCAAAA
rnacentral:lncRNA from 1 species